GUUGACCUCGGAUCAGGUAGGAAUACCCGCUGAACUUAAGCAUAUCAAUAAGCGGAGGACAAGAAACCAACAGGGAUUGCCUCAGUAACGGCGAGUGAAGCGGCAACAGCUCAAAUUUGAAAUCUGCCCCCCCGGGCCGAGUUGUAAUUUGCAGAGGAUGCUUUUGGCGAGGUGCCUUCCGAGUUCCCUGGAACGGGACGCCAUAGAGGGUGAGAGCCCCGUCUGGUCGGACACCGAGCCUCUGUAAAGCUCCUUCGACGAGUCGAGUAGUUUGGGAAUGCUGCUCAAAAUGGGAGGUAUAUGUCUUCUAAAGCUAAAUACCGGCCAGAGACCGAUAGCGCACAAGUAGAGUGAUCGAAAGAUGAAAAGCACUUUGAAAAGAGAGUUAAAUAGCACGUGAAAUUGUUGAAAGGGAAGCGUUUAUGACCAGACUUGGCCCGGUUGAUCAUCCAGCGUUCUCGCUGGUGCACUCUGCCGGUCCAGGCCAGCAUCAGUUCGCUCCGGGGGAUAAAGGUUUCGGGAAUGUGGCUCCCUCCGGGGAGUGUUAUAGCCCGUUGCGUAAUACUCUGGGGUGGACUGAGGUCCGCGCACUGCAAGGAUGCUGGCGUAAUGGUCAUCAACGAC
rnacentral:rRNA from 1 species